AGACCUCAAAUCAGGUGGGAUUACCCGCUGAACUUAAGCAUAUCAAUAAGCGGAGGAAAAGAAACUAACCAGGAUUCCCCCAGUAACGGCGAGUGAAGAGGGAAGAGCCCAAAUUGGGAGUCUGAGUUGUAAUUUUGAGAACUGUUUUCUGUGCUGGACCA
rnacentral:rRNA from 1 species